GACGAACGCUGGCGGCGCGCUUAACACAUGCAAGUCGAACGGAAAGGCCUGCUUUCCCUUGUGGAUUGCGGGUACUCGAGUGGCGAACGGGUGAGUAACACGUGAGUGAUCUGCCCCCAACUUGGGUAUAAGCCUGGGAAACUGGGUCUAAUUCCCGAUAGGACUGCAGGGUGGUGCCUGUGGUGGAAAACGAUUUUCUAGUGGUUGGGGAUGAGCUCGCGGCCUAUCAGCUUGUUGGUGGGGUAAUGGCCUACCAAGGCGGCGACGGGUAGCCGGCCUGAGAGGGUGGACGGCCACAUUGGGACUGAGAUACGGCCCAGACUCCUACGGGAGGCAGCAGUGGGGAAUAUUGCACAAUGGGCGGAAGCCUGAUGCAGCGACGCCGCGUGGGGGAUGACGGCCUUCGGGUUGUAAACUCCUUCCGACCGCGAGGAAGCCACCUGGUUGGAAGGUUGGUGACGGUAGUGGUAGAAGAAGCACCGGCUAACUACGUG
rnacentral:rRNA from 1 species